UGGGAUUAAAGGCGUGCGCCACCACGCCCAG
rnacentral:piRNA from 1 species